rnacentral:misc_RNA from 1 species
UCCGGUUUAUCACCGGCAGUUCCCCAUGCAGCACCUGUGUGCAGGUCCCCGAAGGGAAGGAAUCCAUCUCUGGAGACCGUCCUGCCAUGUCAAGGGCUGGUAAGGUUCUGCGCGUUGCUUCGAAUUGAACCACAUGCUCCACCGCUUGUGCGGGCCCCCGUCAAUUCCUUUGAGUUUUAGCCUUGCGGCCGUACUCCCCAGGCGGAACACUUAUCGCGUUGGCUUCGGCACGGACAGAUUCGACUCCGCCCACACCUAGUGUUCAUCGUUUACGGCGUGGACUAC